rnacentral:tRNA from 1 species
GGCGCUGUGACUCAGUGGGUAAAGUCCCAGCCUGCAGCACUGGCAUCCCACAGGGACACUGGUUCAAGUCCUGGCUGCUCCA